rnacentral:rRNA from 1 species
CAGUGGGGAAUAUUGCACAAUGGGGGAAGCCCUGAUGCAGCCAUGCCGCGUGUGUGAAGAAGGCCUUCGGGUUGUAAAGCACUUUCAGUAGGGAGGAAGGUAGUGUAGUUAACACCUGCACUAUUUGACGUUACCUACAGAAGAAGCACCGGCUAACUCCGUGCCAGCAGCCGCGGUAAUACGGAGGGUGCGAGCGUUAAUCGGAAUUACUGGGCGUAAAGCGCAUGCAGGCGGUCUGUUAAGUCAGAUGUGAAAGCCCGGGGCUUAACCUCGGAAUUGCAUUUGAAACUGGCAGGCUAGAGUCUUGUAGAGGGGGGUAGGAAUUUCAGGUGUAGCGGUGAAAUGCGUAGAGAUCUGAAGGAAUACCAGUGGCGAAGGCGGCCCCCUGGACAAAGACUGACGCUCAGAUGCGAAAGCGUGGGGAGCAAACAGGAUUAGAUACCCUUGGAG